rnacentral:rRNA from 1 species
UACGGAGGGUGCUAGCGUUGUUCGGAAUUACUGGGCGUAAAGGGCGCGUAGGCGGCCGUUUGCGUCGGAUGUGAAAGCCCGGGGCUCAACCUCGGAACGGCAUUCGAUACGGGACGGCUGGAGACCGGGAGAGGAGAGUGGAAUAGCCAGUGUAGAGGUGAAAUUCGUAGAUAUCUGGAGGAAUACCGGUGGCGAAGGCGGCAUCCUGGACCGAGAUUGACACUGAUGAGCGAAAGCUAGGGGAGCAAACGGG